GUACUUUGCGGCCAUCCGACUUUCGUUUUGAAGUCGACAAGCGGAAAACGGAUAACGAGUCGUUUCCCGUUUUUCGCUUCAAAAUAAAAGAACUAAAAAUGGAAAAUUACUCGUAUCCCGUUAUUCGUUUUAAAAUCGGAAAACGAAAAACGGAAAACGACUCGUUAACUGAUAUUGGAUACUGUGUUCAUGAAUGGGAAUCGGGGAUGAAAUAACAGUGCCAUUUUUCAUUCCAGAUUUUGCCGUACGUCUUUUUUAAUGACCGGAAGACGCCGUGUUAUGCCGCGAAAACACUUGAUCUGAUCCGUAGACCGAUUAGACAUGUCUUUAUCUGAAUAUUCAGAGUUUAUUACAGCCAGGAGAUCAAGUGGGAUGUCUUGUGGCGAUAUAGCCGCAGCACUGACUGACCACUUUGGUCUUCUGCGAGGCUUUUCCGAGAGGAAUGUGAGCCGGUGGUGCUCUGAGCAGGGACUCGGCGUGAAAGAUUUCUGCCCAGACAGGCGACUGGAAGGCGAAGUUGCGAAAGCAAUUGAAGAGACCGGGCCUUCCUACGGAAGAAAAAUGAUGACUGGAUAUCUUGCGGCCAAAGGGGUCAAAGCUUCCGAGGGCAGAGUGGGGAAAGUCCUACGGACCAUUCAUCAGCCUUACCAUACAGCAAGGCAGCAGGGUUCCAGAAACCUUAACCCGGUGCCUUACACGGCUGAGUACAUGGGUCACAAAAUCCACAUUGACCAAAAUGAAAAGUUGGUGAUGUUUGGAGUGACCCAUGUCAUGGCUAUUGAUGGGUACAGUAAGAAGAUUGUUGGGCACUCCACUAUGCCCAUCAAAAACAACAUUAUCAUUUAUGAUGAAGUGUACAGGUAAGAAAAUAGAAAGAAAAAAAAAUGUGCUUAACUGCUUAAAUGUUAAAG
rnacentral:lncRNA from 1 species